GUGGGGAAUAUUGGACAAUGGGCGAAAGCCUGAUCCAGCAAUGCCGCGUGAGUGAAGAAGGCCUUCGGGUUGUAAAGCUCUUUUACCCGGGAAGAUAAUGACUGUACCGGGAGAAUAAGCCCCGGCUAACUCCGUGCCAGCAGCCGCGGUAAUACGGAGGGGGCUAGCGUUGUUCGGAAUUACUGGGCGUAAAGCGCACGUAGGCGGUCUUUUAAGUCAGAGGUGAAAGCCCGGGGCUCAACUCCGGAAUUGCCUUUGAAACUGGAAGACUUGAACACGGGAGAGGUGAGUGGAAUUCCGAGUGUAGAGGUGAAAUUCGUAGAUAUUCGGAGGAACACCAGUGGCGAAGGCGGCUCACUGGACCGUUGUUGACGCUGAGGUGCGAAAGCGUGGGGAGCAAACAGGAUUAGAAACCCUUGUAGUCC
rnacentral:rRNA from 1 species